rnacentral:rRNA from 1 species
UACGUAGGGGCCGAGCGUUGUCCGGAGUUACUGGGCGUAAAGCGCGCGCAGGCGGAUCAGCAAGUCAGAUGUGAAAUCUCAGGGCUCAACCCUGAAACUGCGUCUGAAACUGCUAGUCUAGAAUGUCGGAGGGGGUAGGGGAAUUUCACGUGUAGGGGUAAAAUCCGUAGAGAUGUGAAGGAACACCGGAGGCGAAGGCGCCUACCUGGACGACUAUUGACGCUGAGGCGCGAAAGCGUGGGGAGCAAACAGG